rnacentral:rRNA from 1 species
AAUAUUGGACAAUGGGGGCAACCCUGAUCCAGCCAUGCCGCGUGUGUGAAGAAGGUCNNNGGAUUNUCAAGCACUUUAAGUUGNGAGNAAGGGCUUUAGGCUAAUACCCUGAAGUUUUGACGUUACCAACAGAAUAAGCGCCGGCUAACUCUGUGCCAGCAGCCGCGGUAAUACAGAGGGUGCAAGCGUUAAUCGGAAUUACUGGGCGUAAAAGGCGGGGAGGUUGUUCAGGAAAGAGGGUGUGAAAUCCCCGGGCCUAAACUGGGGACUGCUUUCAAAAAUGGUGAGCUAGAGUACGGUAGGGGGUUGUGGGAUUUCCUGUGUAGCGGUGAAAUGGGUAGAUAUAGGAAGGAACACCAGUGGCGAAGGCGACCAACUGGACUGAUUCUGAAACUGAGGUGCGAAAGCGUGGGGAGCAAA